CCCUUAGAUGUUCUGGGCCGCACGCGCGCUACACUGUUCGACGCAGCGAGUCUUAACCUUGACCGAAAGGUUUGGGUAAUCUUCAGCAAAGUCGAACGUGAUGGGGAUCGAUCAUUGCAAUUAUUGAUCAUGAACGAGGAAUUCCUAGUAAGUGCAAGUCAUCAGCUUGCGCUGAUUACGUCCCUGCCCUUUGUACACACCGCCCGUCGCUACUACCGAUUGAAUGGUUUAGUGAGAUCUCUGGAUUGACGCUGGCUAGGGGGCGACCCUUGGCCAGACUGUUGAGAAACUGCUCAAACUUGAUCAUUUAGAGGAAGUAAAAGUCGUAACA
rnacentral:rRNA from 1 species